GAUGAACGCUGGCGGCGUGCUUAACACAUGCAAGUCGAACGGUGAAGGCGGAGCUUGCUCUGCUGGAUCAGUGGCGAACGGGUGAGUAACACGUGAGCAAUCUGCCCCUGACUCUGGGAUAAGCGCUGGAAACGGCGUCUAAUACUGGAUACGAGCUGCGAAGGCAUCUUCAGCAGCUGGAAAGAAUUUCGGUCAGGGAUGAGCUCGCGGCCUAUCAGCUUGUUGGUGAGGUAAUGGCUCACUAAGGCGUCGACGGGUAGCCGGCCUGAGAGGGUGACCGGCCACACUGGGACUGAGACACGGCCCAGACUCCUACGGGAGGCAGCAGUGGGGAAUAUUGCACAAUGGGCGAAAGCCUGAUGCAGCAACGCCGCGUGAGGGACGACGGCCUUCGGGUUGUAAACCUCUUUUAGCAGGGAAGAAGCGAAAGUGACGGUACCUGCAGAAAAAGCGCCGGCUAACUACGUG
rnacentral:rRNA from 1 species